CGUAGUUUUGGAAAGUGAAAAGGGAACGGCUUUACAAUCUAGGUCGAGAGCAAUGAUAAUACUCCCUCACCAAUCUCAACCAUCCGUUUGAGUUUACAAAAUAGUAUCAACCGUUGAAUUUAUGUUUAUAUCGGAAAAUUGCAUCACUCUCUGAGACUCUAAUGGGAUAGUGGUACCCAAACCCCUAGAAUGUUAUAAUCAGGUCUAGCGGCUCCUGGAACGAGGAGCAAGCGGUUGAGAGAAUUGAGGAGUUCAAGCUCUAUCGAUGGUGAAGCUAGCUUACGUUAGGAUUCUGAGCUUACGGUUGUUGGAGGUGUAAAAAGAGGAGAUGAAGCUUUACAGGAGAGGAUUUCACCUUCUGGUUUGUCAGGUUUUCUAAUUCUCAAUCUCUGUUUUGAUUAUCAAACAAUCCAAACCAAAUGUGAGCAAUGCAAUUUCAGUUUUUUUUUUUUUUAAUGAAAGCUGUGGUCUUUUGUAGAGUUUGUCAUAUCUUCAAAGUUUUGGGUCUCUAAUUCCAAAAUUUGCAUUUACACAAUUAUUGAUGGCAUAGUGACAGACACAUGGAUAUCUUUGCCAUCGUUAGCAGCUUCCAUCAUUGGGAGCUCUCCACGUUUGGAUCUGGAUCUUGGCCAGUGACCACUACGAAAGCUUUGCGAUAUGAGAUUGUGACCAGUGCGGUUGGAGUUGAAGAUUCACCUGAAGAAGUAAAAAGAAUCGGGAUAACAUAAAGCUGUUGAAGCUAAAGAGUACUGGAUUUUGGCUUAUUGAACUGAAGAACAACGAGAUUUCAGAUGAUGAGGCAAAUGAGCGAGAUGAAGGUGGUCUCAAGUAUCUUAAGGAUAUGAACUAGAACAUGGCUGAAGAGCCAAAUGGGCCCAAGCUUGAGUUUUCCUUAGAUCAGAACCCUUACUUCAAGAGUACUGUCUUGACCAAGAUAAUGGGAUUCCUGUCACUGUCUUCCAACUGCAAGUCGCAGGGUAAGAGAGAGGGAGGAUCUGAAAGCUCUGAUUGUUUUUUCUCAUUUUAAUUUCUAUUUAGAGGUAAGAACCAAUUAUAGUUUUAUGGGUUUAGUGGUCUACCUGUUGUCUUCAUGAUUUUCAUCAGGACACUGGUCUGUUAGUCCAUGUAAAUGUGUAUGAGCUUCUGCAUAGCACACCAAAAAUGUCGGAGGAACGUAAGUCUCUCAAAAGCGUUGAGUGGUCUAUAUCAGAUCGGCUGCAAUGCCUAAAUGAUGGUAACCAAUAUAUCUCCUUUUUGAGAAAAAUAAAGCCCAUUUCUUUGACCACUUCUUGGUUGAUUGCUGUCUCUCGGUGGCUUAUACACAUUGCUAUAACAAGUAAGAGCUUCUGCAAAUCGUCUGCAAUCAAGGAAAGCUUUGUGUGAGCAGGCCUGUGUGUUAAGUCUCUUCAGUGAUCUCUUUGACUUUCUUAUGUUCGAUUCACACAAGUAUUGGUCUUUCACAAAAAGACUCAUUCACAUUAUUACAUGUUCUGGUGUGAUUGUGACUCUCCCUCACUCUCUCGAUGCACAUGGCUACACUUUUCUUUGCUGUGAUUGAGAUGUUGGUACACACAAUAACUCAUAGGAAAAUCAGGGGAAUGAUCAGCAUGCGCUGCAUCUUCUGCUUCAAAUAUCAGAGACCAAUGAGGAAAGAGGUUUAGAGACAUCAAUUGGUAGAUGCAUACAAUAAGUUUUGUUUAUUCUUUGAUUUUUGGGUUUGAUUGGUUUUAGGAAAUGGAAUCCUUUCUCUCAGAACAUUAUAAGCAGAUUGUAAUGUCAGAUGGCUUGAUGAUUCUUGGAUUUUGAAACCAGAAAUUUAUAUUCCUGCCAAAA